CGGAGGCUGGCGCGGACGAGCGCCUCGCCAACCGGGUCAGGUCCGGAAGGAAGCAGCCCUAACGAGUUUUUCUCGGGUCGCGUCAGUCUCUGCUU
rnacentral:SRP_RNA from 1 species